AGGAAAGUUAAAAUGGAGCCGCUAACUCCAUAUACUCCUCACUGGAGCUUCCCUU
rnacentral:tRNA from 1 species